AGGUGCUGCAUGGUUGUCGUCAGCUCGUGCCGUGAGGUGUCGGGUAAGUCCCAUAACGAGCGCAACCCUACCCUUUAGUUGCCAUCAGGUAAUGCUGGGGACUCUAAAGGAACUGCCUACGCAAGUAGUGAGGAAGCGGGGAUGACGUCAAAUCAGCACGGCCCUUACGUCCAGGGCUACACACGUGCUACAAUGGCCGAUACAGAGGGCAGCUACCUGGUGACAGGAUGCAAAUCUCCAAAGUCGGUCUCAGUUCGGAUCGGAGUCUGCAACCCGACUCCGUGAAGUUGGAUUCGCUAGUAAUCGCGCAUCAGCCAUGGCGCGGUGAAUACGUUCCCGGGCCUU
rnacentral:rRNA from 1 species